rnacentral:rRNA from 1 species
AUGAACAAUGCGAAUGAAAGCAUAGGGAGAGGAGAAUAUAUGCACAUGAGAUGUGCUGCUCAUAUUCUGAACUUGAUAGUUACCGAUGGGCUAAAAGAGUUGGAUAUCUCGGUGAAGCGAGUUCGUGCUGCAGUCAAGUUUGUUAAGAAUUCUCCAGCUAGAAUUACUAAGUUCAAGAAGUGUGCUAAAUUAGAGAAGUUGGCAAAUAAAGGUUUCUUGUCACUUGAUGUAUGCACUAGAUGGAACUCCACAUUCUUAAUGCUGAAAGCUGCAGCCACAUAUGAGAAGGUGUUUGUGAGGUAUGAAGAAGAGGACCCAUACUUUGCAAUUGAGAUAAAUGGCGACAAAAUGCCAGGAGUGCCUGGACCAGAAGAUCGGGAUAAUGCUUCAAAGAUGGCAGAGUUUCUUGAGCAUUUCUAUAAGCUUACCCUUCGUGUUUCAGCCUCAAAUCAUUGCACAUCUCACAUCUUCUUCCAUCAAAUUGCUGAUAUCAUUGUCUUGCCGAGGGCUUGGUGUGGAAGUGGAGACCCUUUGCAGAGAGAGAUGGGAGAAAGGAUGCUGGACGAGUACAACAAGUAUUGGGCAGAUCACAAUAGCUUCAACAUCUUGAUCUUUGUGGAUGUUGCUCUUGAUCAAAGAUACAAGUUGUCAAAUUACAUCAAGAUUGCAACUUUUGAAAUGUUUGGGCAGAUCAAUGGAGAGGAAGUGUGGACAAAAAUGAAUACAACUCUUACAAAUCUGUUCCAAGAGUAUUUUAAGUUAUAUGGUCCAACUGAGCAAGAAGUGCAGCCUGAUGAUGCACCUAGAUUUGAAGAGGACAGCAGCGAAAGCUUGAUGAGUUCCUUGAUUGCAAAGAGAAUGAGAAUGAAUGACUGUGGAAUCAGCAUUAGCCCUUCGAAGUCUGAACUUGAAAAGUAUCUUACAGAGGAUAAUGAAGCAAAAAGCAGCAAAUUCAACAUUCUUGAGUGGUGGAAGGUCAACUCAUCUAGAUUCCCUGUGCUAUCACGUUUAGCUCAUGAUGUCCUAGCUUUCCCAAUAUCUACAGUCGCAUCAGAGUCAGCUUUUAGCACCGGUGGAUGCAUUCUUGAUGAGUUUUGA